rnacentral:rRNA from 1 species
AUACGGAGGAUCCGAGCGUUAUCCGGAUUUAUUGGGUUUAAAGGGUGCGCAGGCGGCCAUUUAAGUCAGCGGUUAAAUCGUGGGGCUCAACCCCAUUCUGCCGUUGAUACUGGGUGGCUUGAUUGCGGUCGAGGUUGGCGGAAUUCGUUGUGUAGCGGUGAAAUGCAUAGAUAUGACGAAGAACACCGAUUGCGUAGGCAGCUGACCAGACCGCAAAUGACGCUCAUGCACGAAAGUGCGGGGAUCGAACAGGAUUAGAUACCCUGGUAGUCCGCACAGUAAACGAUGAAUACUUGUUUUCGGCGAUAUAAUGUCGGAGGCAAAGCGAAAGCGAUAAGUAUUCCACCUGGGGAGUACGCCGGCAACGGUGAAACUUAAAGGAAUUGA